rnacentral:rRNA from 1 species
AAACGAUGUCGACUUGGAGGUUGUGCCCUUGAGGCGUGGCUUCCGGAGCUAACGCGUUAAGUCGACCGCCUGGGGAGUACGGCCGCAAGGUUAAAACUCAAAUGAAUUGACGGGGGCCCGCACAAGCGGUGGAGCAUGUGGUUUAAUUCGAUGCAACGCGAAGAACCUUACCUGGUCUUGACAUCCACGGAAGUUUUCAGAGAUGAGAAUGUGCCUUCGGGAACCGUGAGACAGGUGCUGCAUGGCUGUCGUCAGCUCGUGUUGUGAAAUGUUGGGUUAAGUCCCGCAACGAGCGCAACCCUUAUCCUUUGUUGCCAGCGGUCCGGCCGGGAACUCAAAGGAGACUGCCAGUGAUAAACUGGAGGAAGGUGGGGAUGACGUCAAGUCAUCAUGGCCCUUACGACCAGGGCUACACACGUGCUACAAUGGCGCAUACAAAGAGAAGCGACCUCGCGAGAGCAAGCGGACCUCAUAAAGUGCGUCGUAGUCCGGAUUGGAGUCUGCAACUCGACUCCAUGAAGUCGGAAUCGCUAGUAAUCGUGGAUCAGAAUGCCACGGUG